CGCAGGCUGCAACCCGCCUGCGUGAAGUUGGAAUUGCUAGUAAUCGCGGAUCAGCAUGCCGCGGUGAAUACGUUCCCGGGCCUUGUACACACCGCCCGUCACACCAUGGGAGCCGGUAAUACCCGAAGUCAGUAGCCUAACCGCAAGGGGGGCGCUGCCGAAGGUAGGAUUGGCGACUGGGGUGAAGUCGUAACAAGGUAUC
rnacentral:rRNA from 1 species